GUCCACGCCGUAAACGAUGGAUACUAGCUGUUGGGCGCAAGUUCAGUGGCUAAGCGAAAGUGAUAAGUAUCCCACCUGGGGAGUACGUUCGCAAGAAUGAAACUCAAAGGAAUUGACGGGGGCCCCGCACAAGCGGUGGAGCAUGUGGUUUAAUUCGAUGAUACGCGAGGAACCUUACCAAGGCUUAAAUGUAGAUUGACAGGUUUGGAAACAGACUUUUCUUCGGACAAUUUACAAGGUGCUGCAUGGUUGUCGU
rnacentral:rRNA from 1 species